UAAAAGGCCCUUCUAAGGGCCACCCACUAGAUCACAAUAAUAGCUGU
rfam:Erinaceus europaeus unplaced genomic scaffold scaffold00740, whole genome shotgun sequence